rfam:Streptomyces caelestis strain NRRL B-24567 P188contig2.1, whole genome shotgun sequence.
CUUCACCGAGCCGAGCAGCAGCGGCCGGUCGGCGGGCCGGCCCUGGCCGUAGGUGGCGAGCAGGGCCUGCGCCUC